rnacentral:rRNA from 1 species
GACAGAGGGUGCAAACGUUGCUCGGAAUUACUGGGCGUAAAGGGCUCGUAGGCGGCCAACUAAGUCAGACGUGAAAUCCCCAGGCUCAACCUGGGAACUGCGUCUGAUACUGGUUGGCUUGAAUCCGGGAGAGGGAAGUGGAAUUUCCGGUGUAGCGGUGAAAUGCGUAGAUAUCGGAAGGAACAUCAGUGGCGAAAGCGACUUCCUGGACCAAUACUGACGCUCAUGUGCGAAAGCGUGGGGAGCAAACAGG